rfam:Triticum aestivum genome assembly, contig: Triticum_aestivum_CS42_TGACv1_scaffold_049405_1BS
UAUAUACUUCCUCCGUCCGAAAAUACUUGUCCUAGAAAUGGAUAUAUCUAGACUUAUUUUAGUUAUAGAUACAUUCAUUUUCUCCAAUUUUAGGACGAGUAUUUCUAGACGGAGGGAGUAUCUA